rnacentral:lncRNA from 1 species
CAAGACAAGACUGGGCAACACAGCAAGACCCUGUCUCAAAAGAAAAAAAAAGAUUCCAAGAUGGUGUAGAACAUCAGAGAGGAGCCCUUCGAGAUUAUUUGGCCAUUGUCACCCCACCUGCUUAUAGAUGGAAAUGCAUAGACUCAGAGAGGUCGGGGGACAUAUAGACAGCUGUACAAAUCCAGUGGACCUCAAAUCCAGGCGUUUCUAAACUGAAUUAAAUUAUCUCGCCCUUGGGCGAUGGAGAAUGGAGCAGAAGUGACCACAGCAGAAUAGGUGGGAAGGUUCCUGCGACAGCAAAGAUUCUGCUGCCCGGUUCCUGAGAUAUUAAGAAUGUGUUGUCUACACAACUACAUGGCCAGCUGCCUCCUCCUUAAUUUUUGUUUUGUUUUGUUUUGUUUGUUUGUUUCUGAGACAGAGUCUUGCUCUGUAUCCCAGGCUGGAGUGCAGUGGCAUGACCACAGCUCACUGCAGCCUCAAUCUCCUUGGUUCAAGUGAUCCUCCCACCUCAGCCUCCCAAGCAGCUGGGACUACAAGUGCAUGCCACCAAGUGCUAUUUUUUUUCUUUUUUAAAUUUUUUUUAGAGGCAGGGGUCUUGCUACGUUGCCAGGGCUGGUCUCGAACUCCUGGGCUCAAGUUAUCCUCCUGCCUCGGCCUCCCAAAGUGCUGGGAUUAUAGGCGUGAGCCAUCAUACCCAGCCCUCCUUAAUUUUUUAACAUGAAUUAAUAGGACUUGGACACACAUAGCCUCAUUUAUAUGGGCAGCCAUCACAGCCUGCCACGUAUCAGAUGAGGUCUCUGGGGCUCUCACUCCUUGCAUCGGGACUGAUGCCACAUGUGGCCCAGCUGUAGGUCACAUUCAUCUCCUGCGUUCUCCGGGAUCAGAUGGAAUACCAGCACAUCUACCCUCGUGUGCCCUGGGAGUUUGUAAUAAUGUAUGAAUAUGUAGAUUUAUUUCAGAGAACAUUUUCAGAAUCCUGUUGCGCAUGUGCACAAAAAUAUUGGCUGCAGUGUGUUUAUAACCAUGAAAACUCCAAAAUAGCUUCAAUCUCCUGUGAAAGGGGAGUGGUUGAAGGCCCUCCAGCACGUGCACAGAAUUCUUUCUUCAGCCAUUGAAACAUGAAAAUGACGGUUAAAAAUGACUCCAUUAUGGGGAAAAGGGACAGGAUGCAAAUGGCAUGAUGAUAUGAUGGCACGAUGUAUGAUAAGGAAAGAAAAAGAUGUUGUAAAAGGUCACAUAAAGUCACCCGCAGAUCAGCAGUCAUGCCAUGAUUAGCUGCUCUGUGCCAGACACACAGGCUGCAAAUUGUAGCUGCUCACCCCAGGAAGUGGGCAGCUGCCCCUCUGUGCCUCCGUUGCCUCUGUUAGGCUCCUGGAAGCCCCCUUCAUUGCUGUGUAAUGACAUCUUCAUCACCACAUGUAACAGCUUCUUUACCACUAUGUGCAAUGUCAUUCUGUGUGCCUCUUGGGCUAAACCAUCACAGAGGAAAAGAGUGCUGGAGAAAUGCCAGGGAUAUCGGUACGGAAAUGUUCCAGAUGGAAAGUCUCGGCUUCAGGUGACCGUAGCAGUGAAUGUCAGGGUCAAACAGGGGGUGUAUUCUUGGGAGAGCGUCAGCUCGUCUGUGACCUAGUGUUCAGCCGGCUUCCCGGAAAGGAGGCUGCAUCCUGACAUUGAAGCCCUGUGUGCUAGGAUGAGUGUGUUACGCAGAGCCUUACACAUGAGAAAAUCUUGCAUCCUCAGGACAGGCGGUUAGUGUUGCUGUCUGGAAUCCACCGGCUACGUCCCUCCUCCCUCCACCACUUAAAAUUCCCUGAAUCUGACAGUGGUAGGGAAAGGGCUGAUCCUGGAGAAGAUUGUUCCUUGAUAAUCCUAGUAUGAUUCAUAAUGGUUGCAGCAGAUGAGCCCUGAGGUCCGUGGCUCAGUCUGCAGCUGAGGAAGGCUCUUCCCUGGGGAGGUGUGUCCAGCUUCUCGGGAAGACCUCAGCUGUCUGGCUGGCCUGGGCUGCCCAGUUCUUAGCAGUGCGUCAGUGAUCAGCAGCCCCUGACCAUCAGACAGCGUUUCCCGCCUGCCAGAGAACGUCGGAGCCACUGCGUCUGGACCAGCUGAAGGCAGCCACGGUGCCCAGGAUGCUGCUGCUGCCUCCAAGGAAAAGAAUUCUGAAAAUGAGGAAUUACAGCCUGGUGGUUUUGUUUUAUGUUUAUUAAUUUUUUUACAUCUGGAAGAUAAUGGAAAAAUUAAAAAUUGCUAUAAUUGCACCAAUUUUAAAAGUUAAUAAUAUAAAGAAGGGAGAGUCACCAACACCAGCUUGAAACCCAUCCCGCCCCUUCUUGAGAUAAUACCUGUUAUCAAUUUGGUGAUUUAUGCAAACGUAGUGGUGUACUGUUAAACUUCUCAAGAGGAGAAACAAAAACCCUGAAUUGUAGGUUUGUCGAUUUCAAUGGUGAAAUCCCACUGCAGCCGGUUUCAGGCAACCAAAGCUUUAAAAGCCAGUUCGCAAAAUUCUUGAAUAUUUAAUAAUCAGCUUUUGCAAGUGCAUACAUGCUCACAGCGUUUGCUUUUUGUACUUCAUUUUGAGGGAGGCAGGAAAUGGAAACUUGCAAUGGUAUUGGUAAGCAUGCCAUUUUUAUUUACGGUAUCACCACGUCUUCCCAGACUAGCAUGUGCAGAUUCACUUAGCUCCUCUCACUUGUGGGAUGGAGUUUCCAUGAAGGCGCACUGUGUUGCUUCUGGAAGGGCAGAAUCGGCCCCCCAGGAGAGGGGAGUGGCAGCAGCUUAGCACUCGGAGGUUAGCUCCUGCAAUGCUAUCCACAUUUGGCGUUUACUUGGAGUUCACUCUAGCUUCUGGUUUCUUCUAAAUAUGUUCUUCCAAUAACCUGUGGCCUAAUCAACGUUGCUGGUGAUACAUCCCUUUGCUCUGUUCAAUUCCAGUUUCCAUCAGAGAAUCUCAUUUUUCUUUUGGGAAAUGUUUCCUGAUUUUCUUCUUUUCCACCACCCCUCCCUGAGGCUGGGUAAAGUGCUUCUUCUGCAAUGAUGCUUAGAACCCAGGCCUCCUUCUGUGACAGGGCUCUCUGCACCUUAUGGUUUAUUGUGUGAUGUCUCAGCCUGUUUCCUGCAGAGAAGCAGAGAAGUUCUGGUGAACAGAAUGGCCCUCUAAAGAUGCCCACGCCCUAAUCUCUGAUGUUAUGCCUAUGAAUGAAUAUGUUACUUUAUAUGGCAAAGGGGACUUUGCAGAUGUAAUUAAGGUUACGAAUCAAUUGACUUCUAAUAGGGAGAUUAUCCUUGGUUAUCCAGGUGGGCCCAAUCCAAUCACAUGGGCCCUUAAAAGCAGAGAUUUUCUCUGACUGUGCUGAGGAAGAUGCCGUGAACGAUUCUAAGUGUGAGAAGGAUUUGAUGUGCCACUGCUGGCUCUGAAAUGUGGGGCCCACUUGUAGGAACUGGAGGGAGAGACUGGUUGCUAAGGGUGGCCCCUAGCUAACAGCCAACAGAGAAAUGGGGACCCCCCCAAUCCUACAGCUGCAGGGAACUGAUUUCAGAACAUGAAUAAGUUUGGAAGAGGAUCCUUCCAGAACCUCCUGAUAGGAGUCCAGUCCGCUGUCACCUUGAAUUCAGCUUCGUGAACCAGGAGCAGGGAAACCAGCUGAGCCAACCCACUCUCUGACCUAAGGAGCACCGAGUUGAGGACGUGGAAGUGCUGAGAUGCAACAUAAGUUCCCCCAAAUUACUCAGCUACUUGAGGCACAGCUGACAUCCAGAAGCUUCUCCGGAAAGGCUUUUGGAGUUCCCCAAGGCAGAGUCAACAAGAACAUGAGAAAUUUCACCAAAGCUCAGAGAUGUUAAGUAAUUUCCUUAAGAUGGCACAGCACAUGAAAAGACAAUCCGGCAUUUGAACCUGGCACUCUGGUUGUGAAACACUGGUCUAUAGCCACCUUGCUACCCAUUUCUUCCCCCUAGCCUUUGGAAUAUUGUGUUCCCCUAAUUAUUAUGGUAGUGAGGACAACCACGUGAUGAUGAUGAUGAUGAUGAGGAUGACGACAAUGACAGUGAUGGCGGUGGUGAAGGAGGAAGACAUGCCCUCAUUUCGUAUAGCAAUCUGCUUCUUGCUGGGAUUUCAAAUCCAUUUUCAUUGUUGAUCCUGAGAGCAAGCCUUGGAGGGGGAGUCACUUUGAAAUCCCAGGAAACUGGGCCUUAAGAGGCGGCUGAAGACCCAUGAAUUCAUGCGGUAGAGUCUGCGAGGCCCAGAGCGGAAGAGGAGGACAUGGGUGUAGCAGCCCACACUGCUGUGCCUACAGCUCCGGAUCCUGACUGUGUGAGUGGGCCCAAGGCUGCUGGAACCUCUGGGGCUAUAGCAAGAAGGGUGAGGAGGUUGCCCCACUCCUGCUGCCUUCAUGAACAUUGGUUGUUCCCUCAGGACAGGAAAUUGAGGCUGUUCCCUUGACCUCUCCAGACAACUUCGUGGUGACUUCAAGCCCUCUUAUGAGGUGGUGGAUCAUAGCUACCGUUGAUUGAGAGCCAGUCUUGGUGCUCUGUGUUCACCUGAUUCAUCUGAGGGACUGCAUCUACCCUGCCCUUGCCAUAGUUCCUGCCCUGUUUGCUUCUCCUGUUGCUGCUAGUGGACAUUGCCUAGUUCUGUGAUGAGCUCUUCACACCUGUGCCCAUAUGGACUGUGGGAGAGUUUGUCUGAUAUGGACCGUGAUGCGGAUGAGAAAACUGCUACUCAGAGAUGCUGAACAUAACGUGGCACAGCUGAUAAGUAGCAAAGAUGAAAGUCCAGGUGCAGAGAAGUUCCGAGAAUGUGGCCCUCCUGGGAUGGAAGGUGUCCUUGUGCUAGUCAUGAGCGAGACAGAAAGCAAGAAACUGCCAAAUUGUCUUCCAAAGUGGCUACAUCAUUUUGCAAUCCCACCAACAAUGAGAGUCCCUGUUGCUGCAAAUCCUCCACCAGAAUUUGGUAUUCAUGUUUUGGAUUUCAGCAUUCUAAUAGAAGGACAGAAUAAUGGGCUCCAGAUUCGCAAGCCCCACCAAGAGGAUCACCCCAGGAACCCUUGGAGGCUGAGGAAUUCACUGAGGCUAGUGCAUCUCGAGACUCAGGAUGAAGACCCAACUUGGGGCUGUCAAAGAGGCUUGAAGAGGCAGAACACCCGAGAGGAGUCUGGGGCCACCACCCAGCGUCACUGGGAAAACGGCAGCAGGAAAUGUCCUCUCACCUGCGUGCUCCACCUCUGUCCACGCCUUCCCUCCUUCUGGAAGCCUUGCCUGACCACUGGCCUGCCCCUUCUAUGGGAAUCGCUGCUGACCUUGCAGCUCACUGUAGACUUAUAUGUAUGCAGAAAUAUAAUUUUAAUUACUUUUGUAUUGCUCCAAGAGUGAUACCGAAUCACAACAGAAAAUUUAAAUAAACAAACUAGCCAAAUUAAUACAAGCAAUCACCCCAGUCAAAUACACCCAGCUCACAUUUUGAUGUAAAAUCUUCCAGUACAUUUCCUAUGUACAUAUAUAUUUUUAGGAAGGAGAUUAUAUUUUACAUGCUGUUUUCUAAAACGUUCUUUUAAAACUGUGUCAUAAACAUUUUUCCUUAUAAUUAAAUCGUCUUCUA